UAAUACCUUCCCUUAUUACAAACUUCUCAUUGUAAGUCAUUCCUAUGCCACGGGGGUUGAUGCGUCCCUUUGUCCUGCUAGAUUCUCUAAUUAUAUUAGUCAUGGGCAUCGCACAUCCAAUGGUGGGCUUAGUAUUGGCCAGUAUGGUAGAACCCAUGAUUUCAGGGAGGGCAUCCAUCGUCUUCUAAUUAUUGUUUUCCACCACAACAUUU
rnacentral:lncRNA from 1 species